rfam:Triticum urartu cultivar G1812 contig180902, whole genome shotgun sequence.
CAUGUACUCCCUCCGUUCGGAAAUACUUGUCCUAGAAAUGGUUGUAUAUAGAUUUGUUUUAGUUCUAGAUACAACCAUUUCUAGGACAAGUAUUUCCGAACGGAGGAAGUAAAUU